GACGAACGCUGGCGGCGUGCCUAAUACAUGCAAGUCGAACGCAGUGGGGACGGGUGAGUAACACGUGGGUAACCUCCCAUCAGAGGGGAUAACACUUGGAAACAGGUGCUAAACCGAUACUGAUGGAUGGACCCGCGGUGCAUUGGCCAGUUGGUGAGGAAACGGCUCACCAAGGCCACGAUGCAUAGCCGACCGGGGAGGGGGAUCGGCCAACGUGGGACGGGGACACGGCCAAAAAUCCAACGGGAGGCGGAAUUAGGGAAUCUUCGGCAAUGGACGAAAGUCGGACCGAGCAACGCCGCGUGAGGAAAGAAGGUUUUGGGAUCGAAAAACUCUGUUGUUAGAAAAGCGGUAUCUAACCAGAAAGCCACGGCUAACUACGUGCCAGCAGCCGCGGUAAUAC
rnacentral:rRNA from 1 species